rnacentral:rRNA from 1 species
CUGACGAGCACGCCGCGUGAGUGAAGAAGGUUUUCGGAUCGUAAAACUCUGUUGUUAGAGAAGAACAAGGAUGAGAGUAGAACGUUCAUCCCUUGACGGUAUCUAACCAGAAAGCCACGGCUAACUACGUGCCAGCAGCCGCGGUAAUACGUAGGUGGCAAGCGUUGUCCGGAUUUAUUGGGCGUAAAGCGAGCGCAGGCGGUUUCUUAAGUCUGAUGUGAAAGCCCCCGGCUCAACCGGGGAGGGUCAUUGGAAACUGGGAGACUUGAGUGCAGAAGAGGAGAGUGGAAUUCCAUGUGUAGCGGUGAAAUGCGUAGAUAUAUGGAGGAACACCAGUGGCGAAGGCGGCUCUCUGGUCUGUAACUGACGCUGAGGCUCGAAAGCGUGGGGAGCGAACAGGAUUAGAUACCC